UACGAAGGGGGCUAGCGUUGUUCGGAAUUACUGGGCGUAAAGCGCACGUAGGCGGAUCGAUCAGUCAGGGGUGAAAUCCCAGGGCUCAACCCUGGAACUGCCUUUGAUACUGUCGAUCUGGAGUAUGGAAGAGGUGAGUGGAAUUCCGAGUGUAGAGGUGAAAUGCGUAGAUAUCUGGAGGAACACCGGUGGCGAAGGCGGCAUCCUGGACCGGCAUUGACGCUGAGGCGCGAAAGCCAGGGGAGCAAACGGG
rnacentral:rRNA from 1 species